AUGUGCUCUCACUCAGCUAAAUGUGCCCCAGGCAGUGCCCUACAUUCCUUUAGUGGGAGAGUUAAACACGAUGCUUCCUGUGAGUGGCCAUUUUGGGGUGGAGGAUAUAUUCUUUCAAUGCUCCCACCCCUCUCCUAUGCCCGCCAUGGAAGGAAGAGCCUGCUUGGAUGGGCCUUAGGCUCAGGUUCUCAGAAAGGUCUGCCUGAUUGGGAAGUUAGCCCACACAAUCCCGAACUAGGAGCACUUACCAAUGUGUGGCUGAUGGGAGCCACGAGGACGACUUGUGUAGUUAUUAUACAUCACUCACGGCAAAUGAGGUAAUGCAUUUGAAAGGCAGUAUAAUCAUAAAGUACUAUACAAAUGUUAUGGUCAUUAUUAUGCCGUAUUUAUUGCCUUUUUCCUCGGGGUAAGACUGCACACAUCAUACACUGGGCAAAUAUUCAGAAUCAGCCGUCCUCAGCGGAGCAUGCUGACUGUUGCAAGGAGCCAGCUUCUCCAGCAAGCAAAGAUGCAUCCCUGGUGCCCAGUAGCUUCCUGAAUAGAGGGCUGAGCCUCAUGGAAAGCACAUUUGUCUCUGUCUUUCUCAUCUUCUAUUUCCCCUUCUGUCUCCUUUUCAGCUGUAAGGGAGAGGGGCUAAUGAAUUUGACCUAUAGUUCAGAAUAACAAGUCACCCUCCCACACACCAGAUGCCUACAAUAGCCAGGACUGGGCCAGGCUGAGACCAGGAGCCAGAAUUCCAUCCAGGUCCCCAUGUGCUGGCAGGGACCCAAGUGCUUGGCUAUUAUCUGCUGCCUUCCAAGAUGCAUCAGUGUGCAGCUAGAUUAGAAGUGGAGGAGCCAGCAUUCAUGUUGGCUCUCUGAUAUGGGAUUCAGGUAUCCUAAGUGGUGGCUUAGACCAGCUUUAGGGCUCUAUGUCAUCAAAGUCUAUGACAGUUUAUGAUGAAAUAGCAUUUUUGAAGUUUAAAAUUUCAAGAUGUAGCCAGCUCUUAAAUAUCAUUAAGAAAAACAGAAACAUCUUCACGGAUAUAUAGUUGAAUUAAUCGGUGUGGUGUUGUAUAUACCAAGAAAUGUAAACAUACAGAUAUGGGAAAUUAUCCAGGACUCACUGAUAAUUUUUUUUAAAAUCAACUGCAGUAUUAGAGGUGUAGUGGGAUUCCAUUAAUAUAUUUCACAAAUAUAUGCCUACCAGGCCGGCACUAUGGCACAGCAGAUUAAAGCCCUGGCUUGAAGUGCCAGCAUCCCAUAUGGACACCAGUUCUAAUCCCGGCUGCUCCUCUUCUGAUCUAGCUCUCUGCUAUAGCCUGGGAUAGCAGUAUAAAAUGACCCAAGUCUUUGGGCCCUUUCAUCCAUGUGAGAGACCUGGAGGAGGCUCCUGGCUCCUGGCUUCAGAUCAGCACAGCUCCGGCUGUUGCAGCCAUCUAGGGCGUGAACCAGUAGAUGGAAGACCUCUCUCUCUGUCACUACCUCUCUCUGUAACUCUGUUUUUCAAAUAAAUAAAAUAAAUCUUUUUAAAAAAUACA
rnacentral:lncRNA from 1 species